ensembl:lncRNA
GGAAGGAUCUUCCAUCUUUGUUGAGGCAUGCCAACUCUUAGUUGCAGCAUAUGGGAUCUAGUUCCCUGACUAGGGAUCAAACCCUGGACCCCUGCUUUGGGACCAGGGAGUCUUAGCUGCUUGACCUCCAGGAAAGUCCUUAUAAUCUGUAUUUUAACAAGUCCUCUUGCUGAGGACUUGUUUAUUACAGUUCAUUACACACUACAGUUCAAAAAAUAGCCAGGAAGGAGCUCGGGUGGCCGCGUGGCUGAAGGACAGGGGGACCUCAUGGUGCGGGCAGGCAGGCUGCCAUCUAGCAUUGAGAAGGGUUCCCUGUGCUAUACAUGAGGAGAUUACAAACAGGCCUGGUAGUUUCAUUCCAACACCAGUGGAGGCUUCCCUUGGCUCCCCUCGCCAUUCAGCUGUGACUCAGAGGAAUCUCCUUGGCUGUGAGAGGGCUUGUGACCUGCACAUCUGCUCGUCAUUUACCUACUGUGGAUCUGCUGGGCUGGUGAAGAACUGGUUCCUGCUUCUUCUGCCUUAUUCUGUGAUAUGUGGAGAGAAAUUGCUCCUGUUAAUUUGACUCCAUCCCUGGCUUUGCUCCUGUCAAAUCGGAUGCAUGGAAAUCCUCCAGAAUGUACCAUUCCCAUGGCUCUCACCAUCUUGUUUGCUCCUCCUUCCUGCGGUCAAUACAUCCCAGGUGCCACCUAUGUACCUGCUAAUUUUUACUCCCAGCUGCAAUGAGUCACUUGAAGUUUUAGUCUAUAAAACAAAUGAAAAAAGAGAAAGUUACUGAUGCAUGGGAUAGAGGAUGUGAUAUUGAUUGCUUUUAGAACAAAGAAAACCUGCUUACAGGUAUCCCAGUAAGAGUGUGAUUGGCAGCUUCUGCAAAUACCCUGCGUCUCCAAAGUCAGAAACACAAUGAAAGAGAGAGAAAAAACCUUAUGUAACCAUAACAGUGCCCAUUAUUAGUCUCUUAAAAUAACCCAGCACUUUACUAAGAUUUUGUGUAUAAUGAUAUCUUAUUAUUAUUUUAAAGGUCUUUUUUGAGGUGGACCAUUUUUAAAGUCCUUAUUGAAUUUGUUGUAAUAUUGUUUUUGUUUUUUAUGUUCUGGUUUUUUGGCCAUGAGGCAUGUGGGAUCCUAGCUCCCCGACCAGGGAUUGAACCCACUCUCCCUGCACUGGAAUGUGAAGUCUUAACCAGUGGACCACCAGUAGUCCUGAUAUAUUAAAGCAACUCUCUGGGAUAGGAGUAACUGUCCUCAAUUUACAGAUUAGGGAAUAUAAGACUUAGGGAAAUUAAAGAUACUAAUAAGUAGCAGAGCUGAAAUUCAUACUCAGGAAAGUCUGACUCCAGUACUACUUAUCCUUCCAACCAGCAUUUUCUUGCUUCUUAUUGGACUUUCCUCUUCUAGAUCAGGUCCAUGCUUGUGCUUUACUCAGUGAGAUUUCUCGGAAUCUGGAAAAUGGUGUUUGAUAUAUUUCAGGCUCUGUGAUAAUUCUGUAUGUUAAUGAUUAAAAUAUAUGAAUCAACUGAACUGCAAGCUGCUUACUAGCUGCCAUCUUUCUCUCUCUACAGCUGACAUUAGAAAAAUAAAGCUAUAAAAACAGGUUUAAAUUUUUAAAUUAAAAUCCACAUUUCUGUACUAUAGAAUACCUCACUGCUAUGCUUUAUUUCAAUAGAUGAAGGUAUUUUGAGUAUUUUCAAUUGAUACGGCAACUUUUACUUGAAAAUUCUACUAUCUCUAGGUCAUUCAUAGAUCAUAAAACCAUUUUGAUAAGCAGGAGAAUUAAUAAACGAUGCUCAUGCAAUUUGAAAUUUAAAAUUUUGAGUUCUCUGAUAUGUUAAAGUCUUUCUCUGUUUGUUAAGAGGGAAUAAAAUCAAACUGUGAUUUUUUCCAAGACAAGAAUGAGGCUUAAAUGUCUUGAGUCCUUUUAAGUGUCUCCUCUUC